rnacentral:rRNA from 1 species
UACAGAGGUGGCAAGCGUUGUUCGGAAUUAUUGGGCGUAAAGAGCACGUAGGCGGUUCUGCAAGUCGGCUGUGAAAGCCUUCCGCUCAACGGAAGAACAGCAGUUGAUAUUACAGGACUAGAGUGCGGGAGGGGAGAGUGGAAUUUUUGGUGGAGUGGUGAAAUGCGUAGAUAUCAGAAGGAACGUUGGUGGCGAAAGCGACUCUCUGGUUUGUAAUUGACGCUGAGUGUGCGAAAGCUAGGGGAGCAAACGGG